rnacentral:rRNA from 1 species
GAAUGCUGACAUAAGUAACGAUAAAGCGGGUGAAAAGCCCGCUCGCCGGAAGACCAAGGGUUCCUGUCCAACGUUAAUCGGGGCAGGGUGAGUCGACCCCUAAGGCGAGGCCGAAAGGCGUAGUCGAUGGGAAACGGGUUAAUAUUCCCGUACUUGGUGUUACUGCGAAGGGGGGACGGAGAAGGCUAUGUUGGCCGGGCGACGGUUGUCCCGGUUUAAGCGUGUAGGUGUGUGUUCCAGGUAAAUCCGGUUCACUUUAACACUGAGGCGUGACGACGAGGCACUACGGUGCUGAAGCAACAAAUGCCCUGCUUCCAGGAAAAGCCUCUAAGCAUCAGGUAACAUCAAAUCGUACCCCAAACCGACACAGGUGGUCAGGUAGAGAAUACCAAGGCGCUUGAGAGAACUCGGGUGAAGGAACUAGGCAAAAUGGUGCCGUAACUUCGGGAGAAGGCACGCUGACACGUAGGUGAAGUGAUUUACUCAUGGAGCUGAAGUCAGUCGAAGAUACCAGCUGGCUGCAACUGUUUAUUAAAAACACAGCACUGUGCAAACACGAAAGUGGACGUAUACGGUGUGACGCCUGCCCGGUGCCGGAAGGUUAAUUGAUGGGGUCAGCGCAAGCGAAGCUCCUGAUCGAAGCCCCGGUAAACGGCGGCCGUAACUAUAACGGUCCUAAGGUAGCGAAAUUCCUUGUCGGGUAAGUUCCGACCUGCACGAAUGGCGUAAUGAUGGCCAGGCUGUCUCCACCCGAGACUCAGUGAAAUUGAACUCGCUGUGAAGAUGCAGUGUACCCGCGGCAAGACGGAAAGACCCCGUGAACCUUUACUAUAGCUUGACACUGAACAUUGAGCCUUGAUGUGUAGGAUAGGUGGGAGGCUUUGAAGUGUGGACGCCAGUCUGCAUGGAGCCGACCUUGAAAUACCACCCUUUAAUGUUUGAUGUUCUAACGUGGACCCGUUACCCGGGUUGCGGACAGUGUCUGGUGGGUAGUUUGACUGGGGCGGUCUCCUCCUAAAGAGUAACGGAGGAGCACGAAGGUUGGCUAAUCCUGGUCGGACAUCAGG